rnacentral:rRNA from 1 species
UCUAUGACAUAAAACCAAACCGGAUACUACGAACUCUGUUUAAAAUUCAAAGAACUUGGCGGUAUCUUAUACAGUCAGGGGAACCUGUCCCUUAAUUCGAUAAUCCACGAACGUCACACCCUCCCUCGUAUACUCAGCUUGUGUACUGCCGUCGAAUGUAUACCUCAAAGAGAAAGUGUACAAUAAUAUCACUACUGACGUCAGGUCAAAGUGCAGCUAAUGGGAGGGCGGAGAUGGGUUACAAUUUUAAUAAAAGCCAGCAAUCAUUUAAAAAUGGUGAAAAAGAUGGACUUGAAAGUAAUAACUACACCAAAGAGUUAUAAAUAGGAAUCUAAGAUAUGCACACAUCGCCCGUCGCUCUCGUCGAAAGAUG